rnacentral:rRNA from 1 species
AUUGAACGCUGGCGGCGUGCGUAACACAUGCAAGUCGAACGAGAAAGUCCCUUUCGGGGGCGAGUACAGUGGCGCACGGGUGAGUAACGCGUGGAUAAUCUACCCAAAGGUCUGGAAUAACAGUUGGAAACGACUGAUAAUACCGGAUGUACUGGCAACGGGAAAGGUGGCCUCUGCUUGCAAGCUACUGCCUUUGGAUGAGUCCGCGUCUCAUUAGCUAGACGGUAGGGUAACGGCCUACCGUGGCAACGAUGAGUAGCAGGCCUGAGAGGGUGGCCUGCCACACUGGGACUGGAACACGGCCCAGACUCCUACGGGAGGCAGCAGUGGGGAAUAUUGCGCAAUGGGGGAAACCCUGACGCAGCGACGCCGCGUGGAGGAUGAAGGCUUUCGGGUCGUAAACUCCUGUCAAGAGGGAAGAAACCUGUGAAGAGUAACAUGCUUCGCAAUUGACGGUACCUCUAGAGGAAGCACCGGCUAAUUCCGUGCCAGCAGCCGCGGUAAUACGGAAGGUGCAAGCGUUAAUCGGAAUCACUGGGCGUAAAGCGCUCGUAGGUUGCUUUGUAAGUCAGGUGUGAAAUCCCACGGCUCAACCGUGGAAUUGCACUUGAUACUGCAUUGCUUGAGUUCGGGAGAGGGUAGUGGAAUUCCAGGUGUAGGAGUGAAAUCCGUAGAGAUCUGGAGGAACACCGGUGGCGAAGGCGACUACCUGGACCGAUACUGACACUGAGGAGCGAAAGCGUGGGGAGCAAACA